ACGGCAGCAGCACAUCAUUAAAAAUAAAUCCUAUGUGCACAAUUCUCACCAAGACGUUGAACGCCAGUUGAAUGGACCUACCAGAAUAUUUAGCGAACAGAAAGAAAAGCAAAGUUCGCCUGAUUCUCCUGAAGCAGAGCGGGGAAGUGAGAUCCGAUCACGUGGUCACUCAAGACGCAUGUGGAGACACAAUCUGACGCCAGAUGUGAACUGACGAACUAUCCAGAUGCACAUUAAUGGCAGGUGUAAACACGGCUCUAGAUUUCAUCAUACCUGGCCUCUCUCUACGGAGCGCACUUCCUCUGGGUGCUUCUGUUUCCCAUCACAGUCCAAACACAUGCACGUCAGGUGGAUGGGAGACUCUGAAUUACCCAGAGGUGUGAAAGUGAGUGAGGAUGUGUGUGUCUGUCUACGUGAGACAAACUCAGAGACUGCUUCUCUCCCGAUGCAUGCAAGGACAGGCUCUGGUCUCUCACGAUCAUGAACAAGAUAAGAGGUAAAGAAAUGGACGCACCUAAAUGUGAAAUCUCACACGCAGUAUGAAUGACUAAUAGAAAACACAUAAAUGGAAAGAUACAGUGUGGUUGUCGUAUUUUAAUGAUAUUGCAAUUUUCUGGUAAAAAAAUAAUUGUUUUAAAGGAAAAUGUUGUAGUUAAUAUGAAGUAAUCUUCUGAUAUUUUCCAGAGAAACUUGAACUUACACAGAUUUUAACUGUGAUAAUAGAUUAUAGACAUGCUAGCAAGUGUUUGUACGACAAUGAUGGCUGUCUGAAGCUCGAUCAUUCAACUGUUAAAAAACACAAAUAAACACGCACACACAAA